rnacentral:rRNA from 2 species
UCCUACGGGUGGCAGCAGUGGGGAAUCUUGGACAAUGGGCGCAAGCCUGAUCCAGCCAUGCCGCGUGAGUGAAGAAGGCCUUAGGGUUGUAAAGCUCUUUUGGCAGGGACGAUAAUGACGGUACCUGCAGAAUAAGCCCCGGCAAACUUCGUGCCAGCAGCCGCGGUAAUACGAAGGGGGCUAGCGUUGUUCGGAAUUACUGGGCGUAAAGCGCACGUAGGCGGGUCGUUAAGUCAGGGGUGAGAUCCCGGAGCUCAACUCCGGAACUGCCUUUGAUACUGGCGAUCUAGAGAUCGGAAGGGGUUAGUGGAAUUCCCAGUGUAGAGGUGAAAUUCGUAGAUAUUGGGAAGAACACCAGUGGCGAAGGCGGCUAACUGGUCCGAUACUGACGCUGAGGUGCGAAAGCGUGGGGAGCAAACAGGAUUAGAUACCCCUGUAGUC